rnacentral:rRNA from 1 species
CCUACGGGCGGCAGCAGUGAGGAAUAUUGGUCAAUGGCCGGAAGGCUGAACCAGCCAAGCCGCGUGAAGGACAAAGGUGCCAAGCAUUGUAAACUUCUUUUGUCAAGGGACAAAAUCAGGCUCGAGAGCCUGACCGAGGGUACUUGAAGAAAAAGCAUCGGCUAACUCCGUGCCAGCAGCCGCGGUAAUACGGAGGAUGCGAGCGUUAUCCGGAUUUAUGGGGUUUACAGGGAGCGUAGGCGGGCUGUUAAGUCAGCGGAAAAAGCCCGGGGCUGAAACCCGGGGAGCCGGUUAAACCGGCUGGCUUGAGAUGUCGUGAGGGAUGCGGAAUGGGCAGUGGAGCGGUGAAAUGCUUAGAUAUUGGGGAGAACUCCGAUUGGGAAGGCAGCAUAACGGCCGCGAUCUGACGCUGAGGGACGAAAGCGUGGGUAUCGAACAGGAUUAGAUACCCUGGUAGUC